ensembl:lncRNA
UUUUUUUUUUAUAACUCAUCCGUUUAAAUUAUAUUAAGCCUUAAAGUUCUGCAUAAUCAAGGGCGUGGCCAUUUGAGUGACAGGUGGAUUGCUGCUGCUGUCACCACCGUCGAGCUAGGUGGGCGUGGUUUCAGCAACCAGCUCCCAACUCUUUGCCCAUUUUCAAAUAUCCGGGAGUGACGCGCGGUGAUGCGCUGCAAAGAUGGUGACGGCUGGCUCUGCCCACUUUGAGCUUCAAAAACGCUCUUCGUAAACCUACAGGUGAUGUCACAGACACUACGUCCAUGUUUUUAUUCAGUCUAUGGUUGGAACACAGUGAAUGAAUCUAGAACCUUCGACUGACACACAGAUCCACGCAAGUCACUGAACUCGGUCCGGUCCAGCUCCUUUCACACCGCAGUGUUGUGUUUCUUGUUGAUCUGCAUGUUAACAUAGACACUCUCAUGCUGGGCUUUACUAGCGCAUGCAUUGUUUAUUCCGCUAGUAUAUUGGUGGAAUAUAUGGAACUAUACAAACUGUGUGGGGGAAACUUAAACUGAACCAUACACUAUAAACUACAACCAAGACAUUGCUGAAAAUGUGUGUGUGAAUUUGUUUACUAAAUGCUGCUGACACUGCUGCAAAGUCUGAUAUAUUCAAAUAAUUAUUCAAAAAUAUAUAAUUUCCUUGCAGCCAGUGGACCCCCUUCCCAGUGGAGGCCCCUGGGCUUCAGCCCGUGCAUUAAUGUGCCCCUGAAGUCUUUAUUCAUUUCAGUGUUAUUUUUUUAUUUUUAUAUAUAAACCACUGUACAAAACCACACUUCAAGUGUAGAAUAUUAAAAAAUAAUUUCCAAACUUUAGUCAUAUUAACACUCACUGUACUAAAUUGACAUUCAUUUCAGACAUACACUUAAAGUCAGAAAAAGAGCAAAACCAAACACAGUUUGAGUUCCGCUGUGUUUCCUCUUAAAGUUCACAAAAGCUUGAGUUCAUUACAGUCACAUAUACAAAUAUACACACUGAUCAGACAGAUCAAUAAUAUACUGUUAUUUCACAGAAACUUGUAUAAAACAGAAAUCUGGUUUUAAACCAACAACAGAGUUAUAUAUUGAGUAGUUUGAGACACAAGAGAUAGUAGAGUAUGUAGUUUAGUGGAGUUCAAAUAAAGCUUGUGUGUUUCAUGAGCAGCACAUGAAAAGUCAAACAAAACUCAAUAGUUUUGUUUUGCUGAAUCAAUAUUAUAUCACUUGUUCAGGACAAUUAAUGUUGCCAUCAUCAUUUUUGAUGCACAGAAACAUCCUUUUCUGGAACCCAAAAGAUUGUUUUUUGCAAAUUAUUGUCAUUAAGAUGAUGAUGAGGAUGAGGAUGACAGAUAAGCCCACAACUGGAGUGAUGACAGCAUCCAUAGAUCCAUCAUUCUUUGAUCCUUUAUCUUCAAGUACAUCUGCUUUGUGUAAUGAUGACUCUGGAAGAUGAAUUUAUGUUUAAUGUUUUAUGAUAGUGUUAAAGUCAUAAACUCAACUUCAGCCUAUCAACCUGCAGACAGUCAGAUUCUCCACACAGACCUUCACAAAACACUUCUGCUCCUGAGAAUCUGAUCAAACUGAUUUCACAGGUAAAUCUACACAUCUCUAUUCUGAUUGUAAUAUCUCGAGAGAUGCAUUACUAUUUAGAAACCAUGAUCAUGCAACAGUUAGGCCAUACACAUGGCAGUAAAUUGCAAACAUUUUUUGAAAUAUAAAC